rnacentral:rRNA from 1 species
CGAAGAGGUGCUUGCACCUCUGGCGUCGAGCGGAGGACGGGUGAGUAAUGCUUGGGAACAUGCCUUGAGGUGGGGGACAACCGUUGGAAACGACGGCUAAUACCGCAUAAUGUCUACGGACCAAAGGGGGCUUCGGCUCUCGCCUUUAGAUUGGCCCAAGUGGGAUUAGCUAGUUGGUGAGGUAAUGGCUCACCAAGGCGACGAUCCCUAGCUGGUUUGAGAGGAUGAUCACCCACACUGGGACUGAGACACUGACCACACUCCUACGGGAGGCAGCAGUGGGGAAUAUUGCACAAUGGGCGCAAGCCUGAUGCAGCCUUGCCGCGUGUGUGAAGAAGGCCUUCCGGUUGUAAAGCACUUUCAACAUCGAGGAAAGGGUGUAAUUUAAUACCUUACAUCUGUUACGUUACUUGCAGAAAAAGCACCGGCUAACUCCGUGCCAGCUGCCUCGGUAAUACGGAGGGUGCAAGCGUUACUCGGAAUUACUGGGCGUAAAGCGUACGCAAGCGGUUGUGUAAGCGAGAUGUGAUACCCCCGGGCUUAACCUGUGAACUGCAUUUCGCACUGGGAGGCUAUAGUGUGAUAUAGGGUGGUAGAAUUCCCG